rnacentral:rRNA from 1 species
UAAACAUCGCAAGUCGACGAGAACGGAUUAUAGCUUGCUAUAAUUGUCAGCUAAGUGGCGCACGGGUGAGUAAUGUAUAGAUAACCUGCCCUUAAGAAAGGAAUAACAGUUGGAAACGACUGCUAAUGCCCUAUAUGCCUUUAAUACAUAAGUAUGCAAGGGAAACGCUUUAGUGCUUAAGGAUGGGUCUGUAUGGUAUCAGCUUGUUGGUGAGGUAAUGGCUCACCAAGGCUAUGACGCCUAACUGGUUUGAGAGGAUGAUCAGUCACACUGGAACUGAGACACGGUCCAGACUCCUACGGGAGGCAGCAGUGGGGAAUAUUGCACAAUGGACGAAAGUCUGAUGCAGCAACGCCGCGUGGAGGAUGACACAUUUCGGUGCGUAAACUCCUUUUAUAUAGGAAGAUAAUGACGGUACUAUAUGAAUAAGCACCGGCUAACUCCGUGCCAGCAGCCGCGGUAAUACGGAGGGUGCAAGCGUUACUCGGAAUCACUGGGCGUAAAGAGCGUGUAGGCGGGUAUAUAAGUCAGAAGUGAAAUCCAAUAGCUCAACUAUUGAACUGCUUUUGAAACUGUAUACCUAGAAUGUGGGAGAGGUAGAUGGAAUUUCUGGUGUAGGGGUAAAAUCCGUAGAGAUCAGAAGGAAUACCGAUUGCGAAGGCGAUCUACUGGAACAUUAUUGACGCUGAGACGCGAAAGCGUGGGGAGCAAACAGGAUUAGAUACCCUGGUAGUCCACGCCCUAAACGAUGUACACUAGUUGUUGUGAGGCUCGACCUUG